GUUUAAAAGCGUGGCACUUCCCCCUUCGCUGGCUCCUGCUUUGCCAUGUUAAGACGUGCUUGCUUCUCUUUCGCCUUCUGCUGUAAUUGUCUUGUUUCAGUGAGAAUGUAAAGUACGUGCGCUAUGUGCUUUGUGAUGAAGUCGUUGAUUUAUUUCACUUUGGAACAAGCACACCACAACAAAGUGAGAAUGAGAAGAGACGGGGUUUCACCGUGUUAACCAGGAUGGUCUCGAUCUCCCGACCUUGUGAUCCGCCCGCCUCGGCCUCCCAAAGUGCUGGGAUUACAGGCGUGAGCCACCGCGCCUGGCUGGCAAGAGGUUUUAUGGACUCUGGGU